GAUGAACGCUGGCGGCGUGCUUAACACAUGCAAGUCGAGCGAAGCGCUUUGGCGGAUUUCUUCGGAUUGAAGCCUUGGUGACUGAGCGGCGGACGGGUGAGUAACGCGUGGGUAACCUGCCUCAUACAGGGGGAUAACAGUUGGAAACGACUGCUAAUACCGCAUAAGCGCACAGUACCGCAUGGUACGGUGUGAAAAACUCCGGUGGUAUGAGAUGGACCCGCGUCUGAUUAGGUAGUUGGUGGGGUAACGGCCUACCAAGCCGACGAUCAGUAGCCGACCUGAGAGGGUGACCGGCCACAUUGGGACUGAGACACGGCCCAAACUCCUACGGGAGGCAGCAGUGGGGAAUAUUGCACAAUGGGGGAAACCCUGAUGCAGCGACGCCGCGUGAGCGAUGAAGUAUUUCGGUAUGUAAAGCUCUAUCAGCAGGGAAGAAAAUGACGGUACCUGACUAAGAAGCCCCGGCUAACUACGUGCCAGCAGCCGCGGUAAUACGUAGGGGGCAAGCGUUAUCCGGAUUUACUGGGUGUAAAGGGAGCGUAGACGGCAUGGCAAGCCAGAUGUGAAAGCCCGGGGCUCAACCCCGGGACUGCAUUUGGAACUGUCAGGCUAGAGUGUCGGAGAGGAAAGCGGAAUUCCUAGUGUAGCGGUGAAAUGCGUAGAUAUUAGGAGGAACACCAGUGGCGAAGGCGGCUUUCUGGACGAUGACUGACGUUGAGGCUCGAAAGCGUGGGGAGCAAACAGG
rnacentral:rRNA from 1 species